UACGAAGGGGGCUAGCGUUGUUCGGAAUUACUGGGCGUAAAGCGCACGUAGGCGGCUUUGUAAGUUAGAGGUGAAAGCCCGGGGCUCAACUCCGGAAUUGCCUUUAAGACUGCAUCGCUAGAAUUGUGGAGAGGUAAGUGGAAUUCCGGAGUGUAGAGGUGAAAUUCGUAGAUAUUCGCAAGAACACCAGUGGCGAAGGCGGCUCACUGGCUCGGUACUGACGCUGAGGUGCGAAAGCGUGGGGAGCAAACAGGG
rnacentral:rRNA from 1 species